GAUGAAGCCCAGUGAAUUCAUAGUCUAGAAUGGGAACAAUAUAGAAUGUGAUAGUUUCACAUGGUUUCCAUCCAGGACAAGGUACGACUUCAAACUGCAAACUGCCAGGAGCCAAAUCAAAGAAAGGAUUUCAUAAAACCAUCAUGGGCUUGGCAAAACUUCCAGGCAGAAGUCAGAAUAUGGACAUGCCAGAGGUCUGGUGUCGAAGAGAAGUGAGCAAAAGCCAGCUGGACAGGACGAGAGGAGCUGCCUGACAUGGACGAGCUGCCUCCCUUAAGGUGGAGCCUUGCAAUCUAAAUCCAUGAUCUAGAUGCAUUUUUAAAUGAAAAAAAAC
rnacentral:lncRNA from 1 species